UACGGAGGGUGCAAGCGUUAUCCGGAUUCACUGGGUUUAAAGGGUGCGUAGGUGGGCAGGUAAGUCAGUGGUGAAAUCUCCGGGCUUAACCCGGAAACUGCCAUUGAUACUAUCUGUCUUUGAAUACCCUGGAGGUGAGCGGAAUAUGUCAUGUGGCGGUGAAAUGCUUAGAUAUGACAUAGAACACCCAUUGCGAAGGCAGCUCACUACGGGGAAUAUUGACACUGAGGCACGAAAGCGUGGGGAUCAAA
rnacentral:rRNA from 1 species